rnacentral:rRNA from 1 species
UUAAGCGACUAAGCGUACACGGUGGAUGCCUAGGCAGUCAGAGGCGAUGAAGGGCGUGCUAAUCUGCGAAAAGCGUCGGUAAGGUGAUAUGAACCGUUAUAACCGACGAUACCCGAAUGGGGAAACCCAGUGCAAUUCGUUGCACUAUUGCAUGGUGAAUACAUAGCCAUGCAAGGCGAACCGGGGGAACUGAAACAUCUAAGUACCCCGAGGAAAAGAAAUCAACCGAGAUUCCCCCAGUAGCGGCGAGCGAACGGGGAGGAGCCCAGAACCUGAAUCAGCGUAUGUGUUAGUGGAAGCGUCUGGAAAGUCGCACGGUACAGGGUGAUAGUCCCGUACACAAAAAUGCAUAUGUUGUGAGUUCGAUGAGUAGGGCGGGACACGUGACAUCCUGUCUGAAUAUGGGGGGACCAUCCUCCAAGGCUAAAUACUCCUGACUGACCGAUAGUGAACCAGUACCGUGAGGGAAAGGCGAAAAGAACCCCGGCGAGGGGAGUGAAACAGAACCUGAAACCGUGUACGUACAAGCAGUGGGAGCACCUUCGUGGUGUGACUGCGUACCUUUUGUAUAAUGGGUCAGCGACUUAUAUUUUGUAGCAAGGUUAACCGAAUAGGGGAGCCGUAGGGAAACCGAGUCUUAACUGGGCGAAUAGUUGCAAGGUAUAGACCCGAAACCCGGUGAUCUAGCCAUGGGCAGGUUGAAGGUUGGGUAACACUAACUGGAGGACCGAACCGACUAAUGUUGAAAAAUUAGCGGAUGACUUGUGGCUGGGGGUGAAAGGCCAAUCAAACCGGGAGAUAGCUGGUUCUCCCCGAAAGCUAUUUAGGUAGCGCCUCGUGAACUCAUCUUCGGGGGUAGAGCACUGUUUCGGCUAGGGGGUCAUCCCGACUUACCAAACCGAUGCAAACUCCGAAUACCGAAGAAUGUUAUCACGGGAGACACACGGCGGGUGCUAACGUCCGUCGUGAAGAGGGAAACAACCCAGACCGCCAGCUAAGGUCCCAAAGUCAUGGUUAAGUGGGAAACGAUGUGGGAAGGCACAGACAGCCAGGAUGUUGGCUUAGAAGCAGCCAUCAUUUAAAGAAAGCGUAAUAGCUCACUGGUCGAGUCGGCCUGCGCGGAAGAUGUAACGGGGCUAAACCAUGCACCGAAGCUGCGGCAGCGAACGUAUCACUUAAAACGCUUAACGUGACGGCAAAGCCGGCAUGUUCAAGCCACACUAAACGUUGAGUUGGCCGAUGUGCUGACAAACGAACAGGCGUUUUAAGGAUACGUUCGUUGGGUAGGGGAGCGUUCUGUAAGCCGUUGAAGGUGGCCUGUGAGGGUUGCUGGAGGUAUCAGAAGUGCGAAUGCUGACAUAAGUAACGAUAAUGCGGGUGAAAAACCCGCACGCCGGAAGACCAAGGGUUCCUGUCCAACGUUAAUCGGGGCAGGGUGAGUCGACCCCUAAGGCGAGGCUGAAAAGCGUAGUCGAUGGGAAACAGGUUAAUAUUCCUGUACUUGGUGUUACUGCGAAGGGGGGACGGAGAAGGCUAGGCUAGCCGGGCGACGGUUGUCCCGGUUUAAGCAUGUAGGCGGAGUGACCAGGUAAAUCCGGUUGCUUAUCAACGCUGAGGUGUGAUGACGAGUCACUACGGUGAUGAAGUAGUUGAUGCCAUGCUUCCAGGAAAAGCCUCUAAGCAUCAGGUAACAUGAAAUCGUACCCCAAACCGACACAGGUGGUCAGGUAGAGAAUACUCAGGCGCUUGAGAGAACUCGGGUGAAGGAACUAGGCAAAAUGGUGCCGUAACUUCGGGAGAAGGCACGCUGGCAUUAGGUAAAGGGACUUGCUCCCGGCGCCGAAGCCAGUCGCAGAUACCAGCUGGCUGCAACUGUUUAAUAAAAACACAGCACUGUGCAAACACGAAAGUGGACGUAUACGGUGUGACGCCUGCCCGGUGCUGGAAGGUUAAUUGAUGGGGUCAGCCGCAAGGCGAAGCUCUUGAUCGAAGCCCCAGUAAACGGCGGCCGUAACUAUAACGGUCCUAAGGUAGCGAAAUUCCUUGUCGGGUAAGUUCCGACCUGCACGAAUGGCGUAAUGAUGGCCAGGCUGUCUCCACCCGAGACUCAGUGAAAUUGAACUCGCUGUGAAGAUGCAGUGUACCCGCGGCAAGACGGAAAGACCCCGUGAACCUUUACUAUAGCUUGACACUGAACAUUGAGCCUUGAUGUGUAGGAUAGGUGGGAGGCAUAGAAGUGUGGACGCCAGUCUGCAUGGAGCCAACCUUGAAAUACCACCCUUUAAUGUUUGAUGUUCUAACUCGGCCCCGUAAUCCGGGGUGAGGACAGUGUCUGGUGGGUAGUUUGACUGGGGCGGUCUCCUCCCAAAGAGUAACGGAGGAGCACGAAGGUUAGCUAAUCACGGUCGGACAUCGUGAGGUUAGUGCAAAGGCAUAAGCUAGCUUGACUGCGAGAGUGACGGCUCGAGCAGGUACGAAAGUAGGUCUUAGUGAUCCGGUGGUUCUGAAUGGAAGGGCCAUCGCUCAACGGAUAAAAGGUACUCCGGGGAUAACAGGCUGAUACCGCCCAAGAGUUCAUAUCGACGGCGGUGUUUGGCACCUCGAUGUCGGCUCAUCACAUCCUGGGGCUGAAGUAGGUCCCAAGGGUAUGGCUGUUCGCCAUUUAAAGUGGUACGCGAGCUGGGUUUAGAACGUCGUGAGACAGUUCGGUCCCUAUCUGCCGUGGGCGUUGGAAGAUUGAGAGGGGCUGCUCCUAGUACGAGAGGACCGGAGUGGACGAAUCACUGGUGUUCGGGUUGUCAUGCCAAUGGCAUUGCCCGGUAGCUAAAUUCGGAAGAGAUAACCGCUGAAAGCAUCUAAGCGGGAAACUUGCCUCGAGAUGAGUCUUCCCUGGGGCUUCAAGCCCCCUGAAGGAACGUUAAAGACGAUGACGUUGAUAGGCUGGGUGUGUAAGUGCAGCGAUGCAUUGAGCUAACCAGUACUAAUGAACCGUGAGGCUUAACCUU